rnacentral:rRNA from 1 species
UACGUAGGGGGCUAGCGUUGUCCGGAUUUAUUGGGCGUAAAGAGCGUGUAGGCGGCCAGAUAGGUCUGCUGUGAAAACUCGAGGCUCAACCUCGAGAUGUCGGCGGAAACCAUUUGGCUAGAGUCCGGAAGAGGAAAGUGGAAUUCCUGGUGUAGCGGUGAAAUGCGCAGAUAUCAGGAAGAACACCCGUGGCGAAGGCGGCUUUCUGGGACGGUACUGACGCUGAGGCGCGAAAGCGUGGGGGAGCGAACAGG